CUGCCCAAUGAGGAAUUAAAUGGCCGCGGUACUUUGACCGUGCAAAGGUAGCAUAAUCAUUAGUUUUUUAAUUGAAAGCUGGUAUGAAGGGUUGGAUGAGAGAAUGACUGUCUCUAUUUAAAUUGUUUAGAAUUUUAUUUUUAAGUAAGAAAGCUUAAAUAUUGAUAGAAGACGAGAAGACCCUAUAGAGUUUUAUAGAUCUUAGUUUGGAGAGAUUUUAGAAUUAAUAAAUUUUUAUGUUAAGAUUUAUUUAGUUGGGGCGAUUGAAAAAUUUAAAAAACUUUUUUUAAUUAUUUAAACAUUAAUUUAUGGUUAGAUGAUCCUUAUUUAAAGAUUAAAAGAAAAAAUUACCUUAGGGAUAACAGCGUAAUUUUUUUAAAGAGUUCAAAUCGAAAAAAAAGAUUGCGACCUCGAUGUUGGAUUAAAAUAAAAUUUUGGUGUAGGAGCUAAAAAAUUUGGGUCUGUUCGACCCUUAAAAUUUUACAUGAUCUGAGUUUAAACCGGUGU
rnacentral:rRNA from 1 species